rnacentral:lncRNA from 1 species
UUCAUCUUCCCUGGAUCUCCCAUAGACGGUCCUUCUGCCCGUGUAUUCAGCUUGGCAGCGUUAUUAUCCCGAGGCUCAGAGAUUCCCCUUGCUUCUCUUUUCUUAGGGUCCUUAUAUCGUCGCCUAGACGAAACAAUCCUUGCCAUGAAAGAAUAUGUUGGGAGGUAAUCACUUUCAUAUAUAUAUAUAUAUUAUUUGUCUUUCCAACCGCACUUAUUUUCCUUUAACCUUUUUCUUAUUUGAUUUUUUUUUUAUUCCUUCAGGUAUGAUGUCAAUUGCUUCAUUCCAUGUUCUUUUCUUCAGAUUUUUCUUUUUGAACGCUUGUUAGGCUAUUCCUCUAAGCAGAAGAAGAAGUCUCCUCUUUUUUCAUCACCCAACGUCAUUCCUCGCAUGACACGUUGGAUUGAUCACCUACUUAGACUCGACAGUGCGGAUUUGCGGCCUUUUCUUGAUGAUUAUACUUUGUUUACUGCCCGUCCCUAUACCAUUGUUUCAGAGGGUUGUGACCAUCUACCUCACUUUUACAAGCGCCAAUUUCGUACCUACUCAAGCCUCAACAGAACCAGCUUGAGUGGUUCUGCACUAUCUUGGUUCGUUUNNNNNNNNNNNNNNNNNNNNNNNNNNNNNNNNNNNNNNNNNNNNNNNNNNNNNNNNNNNNNNNNNNNNNNNNNNNNNNNNNNNNNNNNNNNNNNNNNNNNAGCUGGCCAAGCCCUAUAGGAAUAGACUAAUGAAGUUAGUAGAUGGGCCUAGCUAGCAUGAAUAUAGUACAUGGAGUAUUACCAAAGCUUUCAUUGCCCAGUACUACCAUUACCUUUACCCCAUUACCAUUCCGUACGCAAAUGGCCCUGGAAACAGCUGCACCCUUUACACAAUUGACUCACGGUUUUUUUUUUCAGGUGUCUUCGAGGUUACAUAUCAAACCUUCUUCUUUGUCAUGGUGAGCAUUUCUUUUCCCUUUGACAUCCUUACAUUUUUUAUUUUUUUUUAGAGAAAUCUUAUGAUGAACUUUCCUUGCUUGUAGGCCCUUUCACCUGAAUGCUCCGCAGAACCAAAAACCACUCGGGAGUCCCCCUUCAUCACUGAUUGGGGAAGGGCUCCCUUCUUCGGUCCUUCUGACACCUUCUGGGAUAGAGUUAAGGACUAUGACCGUACAACUUUUUCUUCACCAGAGAAAGAAGGCCUAUUUCUGUAUGCCCCAGCUUCUGGAGGUUGGGAUGACUUCCCUCGUGCUAAUUGCAUUCCCCGCCUAUGCAUAGAGAAGAAAGAAUACCCUUUCAGUCCUCUUCACUUCCUAUCUGAUUCAUCUAGUCGCCUUCAAGGAUCGCAGGAUUGGACCGACGAAAUCCUUGGAAAUGCUGAGUACGUGGAAAUACUAAAAAACGCAAGCAUCUUUCGUUGUGUUCAACUAUGUAGAGACCUACGCAUCCACCAUGACCAUAACGCUCUUACCGUGUUGAUCUCACGAUGGUGUUCCUCUACUUGCACAUUCGUCACUACCCCUACUCUAGAGGAUGUCUAUGCCCUCUAUCAGUAAGUUCUCUUCUUUUAUUCCUUUCAUUCAUUCUCAUUUUUUCUGAAACAUUUAUAUUUAUUUUGAAUCUCAUCUUGUAGCCUUCCCGUUGUUGCUUCGAACUCCUGCGGCCCUUCUAACAUGUCCACUAAAGAUAACGAAUGUGUUGCCUACUUGAUAGAAGCCUUCAAGCAAUCUUCCCGCUUCAUCUCCCGCUUCAAGGGCGAUAUACUCCUUCCAGACUUUGAGACUUCUAGUCGGCAGAAAAAUUCUUGGUUAUCCUGGGUACGCUACUUCUUCCGUGACUACAAGUCCUUGCCUUUCGUGGAGAGACUUGUCCUUUUCCUCUGGCAGCUUAUCUGGCUAUGUGGCUGUCCCGCUUCAUCUUCCCUGGAUCUCUCAUAGACGGUCCUUCUGCCCGUGUAUUCAGCUUGGCAGCGUUAUUAUCCCGAGGCUCAGAGAUUCCCCUUGCUUCUCUCUUCUUAGGGUCCUUAUAUCGUCGCCUAGACGAAACAAUCUUUGCCAUGAAAGAAUCUGUUGGGAGGUAAUCACUUUCCUAUAUAUAUAUAUUAUUUGUCUUUCCAACCGCACUUAUUUUCCUUUAAC